UACAGAGGUCUCGAGCGUUGUUCGGAUUCAUUGGGCGUAAAGGGUGCGUAGGUGGCGCUGUAAGUCGGGUGUGAAAUCCUGAGGCUUAACCUCGGAACUACAUUCGAUACUGCGGCGCUUGAGGACUGGAGAGGAGACUGGAAUUCAUGGUGUAGCAGUGAAAUGCGUAGAGAUCAUGAGGAAGACCAGUGGCGAAGGCGGGUCUCUGGACAGUUACUGACGCUGAGGCACGAAGGCCAGGGGAGCAAACGGG
rnacentral:rRNA from 1 species